UUGAAAGGGAAACGAUUGAAGUCAGUCGUACCUGUGGGUAAUCAGCCUUUUGGGUGUGAUUUUGUGGAGUGUGAGGAGUUAAACGCCUUUAUGCCUGCAUAUUCGUGCACUUUGGGUGUAUUUACCCGUGUGGUAAGUUAACAUCAAUUUCGGUGAUCAUAAAAUGGCUGGAGGAAUGUAGCUUCGAUCUUGUAUUGAAGUGUUAUAGCCUUCGGUAGAUGUGAUGAUCGGGAUUGAGGAUUGCAACGGAUACCCUUCGGGGCUACCUGUCUGAUCUCUGAUCGUUGCUCUGGUGCCGAAAGCUUGCUUACGGUUAUCAAAGUCGAUGGUCAAUAGGUUAGAAUGGGUUAAAUUCGUUAAGGAUGUUGACGUA
rnacentral:rRNA from 1 species